rnacentral:rRNA from 1 species
CUAGCUUGCUAGAAGAUGACGAGUGGCGGACGGGUGAGUAAUGCUUGGGAACUUGCCUUUGCGAGGGGGAUAACAGUUGGAAACGACUGCUAAUACCGCAUAAUGUCUUCGGACCAAACGGGGCUUCGGCUCCGGCGCAAAGAGAGGCCCAAGUGAGAUUAGCUAGUUGGUAAGGUAAAGGCUUACCAAGGCGACGAUCUCUAGCUGUUCUGAGAGGAAGAUCAGCCACACUGGGACUGAGACACGGCCCAGACUCCUACGGGAGGCAGCAGUGGGGAAUAUUGCACAAUGGGGGAAACCCUGAUGCAGCCAUGCCGCGUGUGUGAAGAAGGCCUUCGGGUUGUAAAGCACUUUCAGUUGUGAGGAAAAGUUAGUAGUUAAUACCUGCUAGCCGUGACGUUAACAACAGAAGAAGCACCGGCUAACUCCGUGCCAGCAGCCGCGGUAAUACGGAGGGCGCGAGCGUUAAUCGGAAUUACUGGGCGUAAAGCGCACGCAGGCGGUUUGUUAAGCUAGAUGUGAAAGCCCCGGGCUCAACCUGGGAUGGUCAUUUAGAACUGGCAGACUAGAGUCUUGGAGAGGGGAGUGGAAUUCCAGGUGUAGCGGUGAAAUGCGUAGAUAUCUGGAGGAACAUCAGUGGCGAAGGCGACUCCCUGGCCAAAGACUGACGCUCAUGUGCGAAAGUGUGGGUAGCGAACAGGAUUAGAUACCCUGGUAGUCCACACCGUAAACGCUGUCUACUAGCUGUGUGUGUCUUUAAGACGUGCGUA